rnacentral:rRNA from 1 species
UGGGGAAUUUUGGACAAUGGGGGAAACCCUGAUCCAGCCAUCCCGCGUGUGCGAUGAAGGCCUUCGGGUUGUAAAGCACUUUUGGCAGGAAAGAAACGUCAUGGGUUAAUACCCCGUGAAACUGACGGUACCUGCAGAAUAAGCACCGGCUAACUACGUGCCAGCAGCCGCGUAAUACGUAGGGUGCAAGCGUUAAUCGGAAUUACUGGGCGUAAAGCGUGCGCAGGCGGUUCGGAAAGAAAGAUGUGAAAUCCCAGAGCUCAACUUUGGAACUGCAUUUUUAACUACCGGGCUAGAGUGUGUCAGAGGGAGGUGGAAUUCCGCGUGUAGCAGUGAAAUGCGUAGAUAUGCGGAGGAACACCGAUGGCGAAGGCAGCCUCCUGGGAUAACACUGACGCUCAUGCACGAAAGCGUGGGGAGCAAACAGG